rnacentral:rRNA from 1 species
GACGAACGCUGGCGGCGUGCUUAACACAUGCAAGUCGAACGGUGAAGCUCCAGCUUGCUGGAGUGGAUCAGUGGCGAACGGGUGAGUAACACGUGAGCAACCUGCCCCUGACUCUGGAAUAAGCGCUGGAAACGGCGUCUAAUACUGGAUACGAGAAGGGUCCGCAUGGGCACUUUCUGGAAAGUUUUUCGGUUGGGGAUGGGCUCGCGGCCUAUCAGCUUGUUGGUGAGGUAAUGGCUCACCAAGGCGACGACGGGUAGCCGGCCUGAGAGGGCGACCGGCCACACUGGGACUGAGACACGGCCCAGACUCCUACGGGAGGCAGCAGUGGGGAAUAUUGCACAAUGGGCGAAAGCCUGAUGCAGCGACGCCGCGUGAGGGAUGACGGCCUUCGGGUUGUAAACCCCUUUCAGCAGGGAAGAAGCGAAAGUGACGGUACCUGCAGAAGAAGCACCGGCUAACUACGUG